rnacentral:rRNA from 1 species
AUGGCCCAAGACUUUGUGGGAACCAAUAAUAUCAACCUUUUGCAGCCCAAGGGCCAAUAUGGCACAAGAAGCAAGGGCAGGAAACAUUCCGCUAAGAGUAGGUAUGUUUCCACGGGUUUGUCAGAUAUGACAGAGAAAGUGUUCCCAAAAGAAGAUGAGGUCCAUCUUAAUUAUUUGAAACAGAAUGGAAAUGAAGUGGAACCUGAGUGGUAUGUUCCAAUAGUACCUAUGAUCUUGAUCAAUGGAUGUUCGGGCGUUGGUACUGGUUGGAAGACCUCUGUCCCGAUGUAUAAUCCACUCGAUGUUGCCAAUGUUAUGAGACAGUUAAUAAAUGAUCCUUUUUUGGAAAAAAUGUGGAGCCCAUUGGUUCCUUGGUACAGGGGAUUCAAGGGCACAAUUGACAGGGCUGAGAGAGAUGAUUUAUUUAUCAGCAGUGGUGUUAUACAAAAGGUUGAUAAUACAUUUAGAAUUACCGAGCUGCCUAUUGGCUACACCAUUGCAGGUUAUAAAAAAAUCCUUCAAUCUAUGUUGAACAAUAAGGACAAGGUCGAUGCAAAGAAACCGGGCGACAUAAUAAUUGAGAAAAUAUCUGUUGAUGGAGAUGCAAAGAAUGUGGAUAUUACAGUAACCUUAACUGAGGAGAAUAUGCAGAAGACUGAUGGUCAUGACCCUCUGAUAUUAUUCAAGCUGACGACAAACAUUUGGACUAAUAAUAUGCACUUAUAUAACAGUGAUGGCAAGUUUACUUAUUAUGCAACCCCACUAAAGAUAGCCCAAGAAUUCUACAAGGUCAGGUUUUCCCACUAUGAAAAACGGAAGGAGGCAAUUGUCAAGAGACUUAUGAUGCAGAUAAAGCAACAAGAAAACAAAAUUAAAUUUAUCAACGGUUUUCAGAGUGGUGAAUACAUACUAACUGGCAAGAAAAAUGAAGAUCAAAUGUUGGAAUUUCUUAAAGAGAACGGAUUUGAAGCAAUCCCAGAAGAGGGAGAUGCCGUUGGUUUUAAGUAUCUUUCUUCUCUGCAAAUUAGCCAGUUAACUGAUCAGUACGUUUCUGAGCUUGUAUCAGAAAUGCAUACUAUGGAAGCUGAGUAUGAAGCCAUAGCAAUAAAACAACCAAGUGAACUAUGGUUGGCUGAUCUUGAGAACUUUGAGAAGGCUGUUAAGGAGUUAUAUGCGGCCAAGGAAGAUACCGAAAAAGCAAUAACUGAUGCUGAUUUAGAAAAGGCUGGUAAAGAAACAAUAAUCAAGAAAAAAUGUAAAACAACAGCUGAUGCCAAUGCAUCGGCAAUGGAUGUUGAUGGCAAGGACGUCCUUGAACUAGACCCUCUCUCUGGAGGCCCCAUGUCCCCAGAACAUCGUGAAUUGGAGAGCGAAGGGAACACCAAACGGAAGCAACCAAAGAAGGAUCGGCGGAGAAAGAGAAAAAAACAAAAGAAGAAUGUGUCAACUUAUCUUGGCUAA